AGCCUGGUAGUGCAGUUGGUAACACGUCAGUAGCAUGCCUUAUGCGCAUGCGCAGUGCCGCACGGGUUCAAUUCCCGGUAAGGUUG